GCAUCAGUAGCUCAGUUGGAUAGAGCAGUUGGCUACGAACCAGCGUGCCGGGGGUUCAAGUCCUCUCUGAUGCACCA
rnacentral:tRNA from 3 species